UACAGAACAGGUAUAUCAUAAACAUUCUUUAAAGUCUAGUAAGUAGUCUACAGGGAAGGUGAAACGCAUUUUUGUGCCAUAGAAUAGUAUAAAUUUAUUCUUAGACAUUGUAAUUAGACUGCUAUAUAAGAUACUGAAAGCAUCCGGAACAAGUACUGUGUUUUUAAGUCGAACUGUUAAACUCCUUGACAAUUUGAGCUACUUUAAUCAUCUAUUAAAAACAAAUUUUAAAAUGCAACGUUAACCCUUUGGUACUAAAAGAUACCAUGUAAAAAAUGUAUAAUCCAAUAAAUUUAAAGGAUAUGCUAGCAAUGUAUAUGAAUACCAAUUGUGUAUAACAGAAUGGAUUUAAUAUCUGUAAAAACUGAAUGAUACCUUUUUUAAAGUAAGAG